CUUUUUUUCCUUCCUUCUGCCAUUUAAUUCAUUUUUAAAUUUUAACUACAAACCCCCAAAUCUAACAACCCAAAUACCAAAAACCUUGUUUUAAUUUGUUGAAAAUCUCAGAACUGCAGUCGCAGUCGCUCUUCCUCUCGUCACUUACCCUUCCAGUGGACAUUCAAUCUCCAUGAACUACAUCCAUCUUUUCUCAUCUAUCUUUCCAUCUACCCAUAUCCUUGCUUUCAUUUCUGCCCUGAAAAUUGUCAUGAAUGGCUACCAAUCUGUAUCUAUCGCUUUCCUAAAAUUCCCACACCCACUCUCGCACUAUAGCUCUCUCUCUGGUCCUAUCUCUUCCGGCCUCUUUUCCUCAUUCACAAGAAGAUUAGCCAGCAAUCUCAACACUCCCUCUCAUCAGCUGUCUGUCUGUCUGUCUCUGCUCUACCUCUCCCUUUCCUCAUUUAUCACUCUCUCUCUCUCUCUCUCUCUCGUUGUGGCUACAUGGUCUCCAAGAAGAAGUAUGAUUGCUUUGUAAGUAUUCAUUUCAAGAACUCAAUUUCUUAUUUCAUAUUUGGGUUUCGAGUUUUUGGUUCAAAAGGUUGGAUCUUGGUGUGUAUUGGCUCUGAAUUUGUGGGUUUUGCUGGCUUAUUAGAUUUAUACUCAAGUGGACUGUGGUGGUGAUAAUGGAAGAGAAUAGAAUGAGUAGUUUCUCUUCGUUAAUUAUUGAAUUUUAAGUAGUUUAUGGGUGUUUCUAUUUUGUAAGUUCUGAACGUUAUGUUUGGCUUUUUUGGGUUCACAGUGAUAGCAAGGAGUUCUCUCACCAAUUAUUAGGUUAUUUUUGUUGAUGUUCAGACAUCUGAGGAAUUGGGAACCCAAACUCGAGCUGCCAUCUGUUACCUACUUGUAAUUAACGCUCAGCUUGGUUAGCAAGUCUUUCUCCUCUUGUAUAAAUUCUGUUGUAAGUAAUAAAAAGGACAGAUGAUUGAAACCUGAAACCUUUCUUUUGAUACUCUGUUUAGUAGUAACCAUUUUCUUGUUCAAUUUUAUUCCAACUCAUCGUUUCAUUUGCUUGUGUUAUGUUGAUGGCUCAUCUGCUUUGUUUUUUUUUUAAUUUAUGUUGUAAAACUCUCAUCAUAUUUGCUUUCUUGGAUACACUGAAGCAAAGGUACUGCCUCUCAUCUUGUUUCCCAAUCCUAGACUUCAUUAAUUUUCUAAGAUACAUCUCAUAUACUGAUUACCUGGGGUAAUUGUUAAUUUGUUAGAACAAAGUAAUGGUUGUCAUAUGCAUGUCAUUAAUUUUCUGCUCUUCUUCUUUCUGUUUACAGAUGAAGAGUCUGGAUGGUACGAUGGUCAGGUACAUAGGUUUUUAGCUUGCCUUUUGGUUUGGCAGAGAUGACCAAGUUGAAUGAUUAUGUUACAUCAUUUGUUUCAAUGCUCACAAUUCUUUCAGCAUAUUUCCUUGCCUUAAAGUUGGAAGUUUUUCCUUUUCAAUCCAAUUUCCUUCCCUUUUGGAGAAUCCGAAAGCUUGCUUUCUAACUAAUUCUUUUUGCUUGUAAAGAAGUAUAUGACAUGGUAGUAAAAGUUGGAAAUUCCAUUCGAAGUUGGCCUGGAGGAUA